ACGGCUCAGUAACACGUGGACAACCUGCCCAAAGGUCCGGGAUAACCCCGGGAAACUGGGGAUAAUACCGGAUAAAUCACAAGUACUGGAAGGUUUUGUGGUUGAAACUUCCGGGGCCUUUGGAUGGGUCUGCGGCGGAUUAGGUUGUUGCCGGUGUAACGUACCGUCAAGCCUGUAAUCCGUACGGGUUGUGGGAGCAAGAGCCCGGAGAUGGAUUCUGAGACACGAAUCCAGGCCCUACGGGGCGCAGCAGGCGCGAAAACUCUACAAUGCAGGCAACUGCGAUAGGGGAACAUCGAGUGAUACUCAUCUUGGGUGUCUGUCCUCCCGUCUAAAAAACGGGAGUUAGCAAGGGCCGGGCAAGACCGGUGCCAGCCGCCGCGGUAAUACCGGCGGCUCGAGUGGUGGCCGAUAUUAUUGAGUCUAAAGGGUCCGUAGCCGGCUUUGCAAGUCUUUUGGGAAAUCCAGCGGCUUAACCGUUGGUCGUCCGGGAGAUACUACAUUGCUUGGGACUGGGAGAGGUAGGAGGUACUCAGGGGGUAGGAGUGAAAUCCUGUAAUCCUUUGGGGACCACCGGUGGCGAAGGCGUCCUACCAGAACAGGUCCGACGGUGAGGGACGAAAGCUAGGGGCACGAACCGGAUUAGAUACCCGGGUAGUCCUAGCCGUAAACGAUGCUCGCUAGGUGUCACAACAAUCGUGAAUUGUUGUGGUGCCGUAGGGAAGCCGUGAAGCGAGCCACUUGGGAAGUACGACCGCAAGGUUGAAACUUAAAGGAAUUGGCGGGGGAG
rnacentral:rRNA from 1 species